AGUGAACGCUGGCGGUAGGCCUAACACAUGCAAGUCGAACGGCAGCACAGUAAGAGCUUGCUCUUACGGGUGGCGAGUGGCGGACGGGUGAGGAAUACAUCGGAAUCUACUUUUUCGUGGGGGAUAACGUAGGGAAACUUACGCUAAUACCGCAUACGACCUACGGGUGAAAGCAGGGGAUCUUCGGACCUUGCGCGAUUGAAUGAGCCGAUGUCGGAUUAGCUAGUUGGCGGGGUAAAGGCCCACCAAGGCGACGAUCCGUAGCUGGUCUGAGAGGAUGAUCAGCCACACUGGAACUGAGACACGGUCCAGACUCCUACGGGUGGCAGCAGUGGGGAAUAUUGGACAAUGGGCGCAAGCCUGAUCCAGCCAUACCGCGUGGGUGAAGAAGGCCUUCGGGUUGUAAAGCCCUUUUGUUGGGAAAGAAAAGCAGCAGGUUAAUACCCCGCCGUUCUGACGGUACCCAAAGAAUAAGCACCGGCUAACUUCGUG
rnacentral:rRNA from 1 species